CCUACGGGCGGCAGCAGUGGGGAAUAUUGGACAAUGGGCGAAAGCCUGAUCCAGCCAUGCCGCGUGUGUGAAGAAGGCCUUCGGGUUGUAAAGCACUUUCAGUGGGGAAGAAAGCCUUGGGGCUAAUACCCUCGAGGAAGGACAUCACCCACAGAAGAAGCACCGGCUAACUCCGUGCCAGCAGCCGCGGUAAUACGGAGGGUGCGAGUGUUAAUCGGAAUUACUGGGCGUAAAGCGCGCGUAGGCGGUCUGAUAAGCCGGUUGUGAAAGCCCCGGGCUCAACCUGGGAACGGCAUCCGGAACUGUCAGGCUAGAGUGCAGGAGAGGAAGGUAGAAUUCCCGGUGUAGCGGUGAAAUGCGUAGAGAUCGGGAGGAAUACCAGUGGCGAAGGCGGCCUUCUGGACUGACACUGACGCUGAGGUGCGAAAGCGUGGGUAGCAAACAGGAUUAGAUACCCUAGUAGUC
rnacentral:rRNA from 1 species